rfam:Nautilia profundicola AmH, complete genome.
CCUAGCGGGAAAAGCGUAGGGGAAACACCCAGUUCCAUUCCGAACCUGGCAGUUAAGCCCUACAGCGCUGAUGAUACUGCACCUUUCAGGUGUGGGAAAGUAGGUCCCUGCUAGGA